GCUAAUACCGCAUAAUAGCUUCGGCUCAAAGAGGGGGACCUUCGGGCCUCUCGCGUCAGGAUAUGCCCAGGUGGGAUUAGCUAGUUGGUGAGGUAAUGGCUCACCAAGGCGACGAUCCCUAGCUGGUCUGAGAGGAUGAUCAGCCACACUGGAACUGAGACACGGUCCAGACUCCUACGGGAGGCAGCAGUGGGGAAUAUUGCACAAUGGGCGCAAGCCUGAUGCAGCCAUGCCGCGUGUAUGAAGAAGGCCUUCGGGUUGUAAAGUACUUUCAGCAGUGAGGAAGGCGGAGUCGCUAAUAGCGGCCUCGUUUGACGUUAGCUGCAGAAGAAGCACCGGCUAACUCCGUGCCAGCAGCCGCGGUAAUACGGAGGGUGCGAGCGUUAAUCGGAAUUACUGGGCGUAAAGCGCAUGCAGGUGGUUUGUUAAGUCAGAUGUGAAAGCCCGGGGCUCAACCUCGGAAUUGCAUUUGAAACUGGCAGACUAGAGUACUGUAGAGGGGGGUAGAAUUUCAGGUGUAGCGGUGAAAUGCGUAGAGAUCUGAAGGAAUACCGGUGGCGAAGGCGGCCCCCUGGA
rnacentral:rRNA from 1 species